AAGGAGUUGUUACAAGUUGAACAAUACAAAUAAUAGAUCAUUGUACUUGGGCCUUGACUAUAAAAGGACCCAAGAUUACUUUACACAGAUUUAUGCAAACAUUUGGAUUUGUGUGGGCUUGUUAUCUCACUUGGAGAUACAAGAUAGGCUUAGAGCUCUGAUCUGUAGAGUCUAAGAGGGGAGGUUGGGCGGUUAUACAUCAAUAUACACUAUAGUUCUUAUCAGAAAAAUACAAGAGAAAAAAAGAUACAGAGUCUAAGAGGGGAGGUUGGGCGGUUAUACAUCAAUAUACACUAUAGUUCUU
rnacentral:lncRNA from 1 species